AUUCUUUAAGAGAAUAAUAUUAGUAAUAAGACAACAAUAACAGCAACAACCAAAAUUGUGUUAAGCACACUUAUUCAAUCAUCUUCUUUUUUGAAGUAACGUCUGUAUCAUAUAAGAUAAGAUAAGAAAGAUAACUUUUUUUUCUCUUUUCAGACAUGGAACAUAUUUUGAUAUGCCAGUGGAAGCAAACGACCUACACAACUAUGCAUCUUUUUCCCAUAAUACACCAGAAGCAACAGAAUAUGAUCAAACUACAACGUUCAUAGAGCAAUCUACAUAUGAAAAAUUAAAUG
rnacentral:sRNA from 1 species